rnacentral:rRNA from 1 species
GUAGGUGGCAAGCGUUGUCCGGAAUUAUUGGGCGUAAAGCGCGCGCAGGCGGAUCAGUCAGUCUGUCUUAAAAGUUCGGGGCUUAACCCCGUGAUGGGAUGGAAACUGCUGAUCUAGAGUAUCGGAGAGGAAAGUGGAAUUCCUAGUGUAGCGGUGAAAUGCGUAGAUAUUAGGAAGAACACCAGUGGCGAAGGCGACUUUCUGGACGAAACUGACGCUGAGGCGCGAAAGCCAGGGGAGCGAACGGGAUUAGAUACCCCGGUAGUCCUGGCCGUAAACGAUGGGUACUAGGUGUAGGAGGUAUCGACCCCUUCUGUGCCGGAGUUAACGCAAUAAGUACCCCGCCUGGGGAGUACGACCGCAAGGUUG